ACAGUCUAAAUCCAACACUUCUAGCAGAGCAAUAAUUAAAAACUAAACAAAACAAAACAUCAUGGAUGAAGUUGAAUAUUGGCUGCCUCAGGCCAAGGCACAAGGAGUGGAUGAAUGCUGCACUGCUGUAUUAGAAGUGGGAGAGCUCUACUUACAUGCAUCUUGAACCUUCACAAGCAGUGUGCAGCAUGGUGUACAUUACAGAAAACUUUGGAUCCUGUUCCAGCAGACCUUAUUAGCACUCCACAGAGAUUUAUUUUGUCACCCAAAGCAUGUCAGAAGCUCAAUCUCCUCUCUCAGAUGGAGAGAAUGGGAAGUCAGGAAGGUUUUUGCCUUCUGAGUGGUUCCAAAGGCUUCUCCCAUUGACUUUAACUGGCUCUACACCCUGCCACAGGGUACAAAUGAGAGGGAUUUCUCUUUGCUACUCGUGUUGUGGAGCCACUGCCGGAGCUCUAGGACUGUAGUGAUGUAGAGAGCAGCAGUGGACUUGAGUCACAGCAUCCUACAUCUGCUUUGUGCACGUGCAAAUGGUGACUUACAGCAUGAAAUCGUGAAGGAUCGUUCUCUGCACUAGCACUUAGUGAUGUUCUGGGGCACAGCUGGCUGUCCCUUCAGCUGGACUGCUGCAGCAGCUUGCAGAGGCUGCCAGAAAGUCUCAGAAUGCAGUGAUGCCUCUCCAAACUUCUUAUGCUGGUUAUUACAGUGAUCCAGCUUAGCAUGUGGUCCCAAGAGGAGGGAGAAGAGAGAAAUAUGCCCGAGCGUGGUGGCCAGAUGAAAACAAGCAGAAGAUGGGGGAGAGCUCGAAUAUAUCCAGUUCCUCUGCUCAGCUUUGUUGCCAAAGCCCCUUUGUGUCUCCGGGAAGCUGUCUCCAAGUCUAUCCUCGCCGACACGAUGCACACGUAGCCCAGAACUGAGCAGGAGGGGGGACACUCGGGAGUCUCCGGGGUCU
rnacentral:lncRNA from 7 species